UACGUAGGUGACCAGCGUUGUCCGGAUUUACUGGGCGUAAAGAGCGCGCAGGCGGUCGUUCAAGUCGAGUGUGAAAGCCCCCGGCUCAACUGGGGAGGGUCAUUCGAUACUGAUCGACUUGAAGGCAGGAGAGGGAAGUGGAAUUCCCGGUGUAGUGGUGAAAUGCGUAGAUAUCGGGAGGAACACCAGUGGCGAAGGCGACUUCCUGGCCUGUUCUUGACGCUGAGACACGAAAGCGUGGGUAGCAAACAGG
rnacentral:rRNA from 1 species